AUGGCCUCGUGCCCUCUCUUCCUUAUCCUCCUCACUCACUGCACAGGGUCCUGGGCCCAGUCUGUGCUGACUCAGCCGUCCUCAGUGUCUGGAGCCCUGGGGCAGAGGGUCACCAUCUCCUGCACUGGAAGCAGCUCCAACAUUGGGGGUGAUUAUGGUGUGAACUGGUACCAACAGCUCCCAGGAAAGGCCCCUAAAACCAUCAUCUAUGCUAGUACUAAUCAACCCUCAGGGGUCCCUGAACGAUUCUCUGGCUCCAGGUCUGGCAGCUCAGGCUCCCUGUCCAUCACUGGGCUCCAGGCUGAGGAUGAGGCUGAUUACUACUGCUCAGCAUGGGAUAGCAAACUCAGUGCUUACACAUUGCUGCAGGCCUGUGGGGAAGUGAGACAAAAACCUUCUGUCCACCCCUGCCCCCCAGCAAUGGAUCUUCCUUUGCAGCUCCCACUCAUUGGCUAA